rnacentral:tRNA from 1 species
UAGCUCAGUCAGUUGAGCAUGGCGCUAACCACGCCAACGUUGCGGGUUCGAUUCCCGU